rnacentral:sRNA from 1 species
UGUGGAAGACAUUGUGGUAUGAAAAAAAGUAAUGGCUUCUAAUAGAAUCUCUUUUAUUUGGGUUCUUCUCUUUGAUUUUGUGUUAGGUUUCUUAUUUGUUAGGGCAUCGACAACAUUGAACGUAGGUGGCUUUCAUGCAAGUUCAUUUGAAAAAUUUCAGAGUAGAAGGUUACUCUCAGAACGAUCAGCAGAUCGUCCUUGUUGUGGAAAUUAUCAGCAUUGAUUUGGAUGUUGCAUGCCUUGUGUUUGAAGGAAUAUAAAGAAAUAAAAGGUUUAUAACAAGCUAUUAAGUCUCACAAUUCACGAGUUAAGAGAUUUGGCAAAUUGACCCAUGAGAUGUACCUCAAGGACCUUAGAGACUAUGUUUAUGAUGAUUUAUAUAUGAUUAUUCAUAAAAUAUAUGAGCUAGAAUACAACACUUCUACUUCUUCAAAAAAUAGUAGUUAUUUUGUAUUGUAAAUGGUUUUGAUCAAAAUACCA